AAACGACUCUCGGCAACGGAUAUCUCGGCUCUCGCAUCGAUGAAGAACGUAGCGAAAUGCGAUACUUGGUGUGAAUUGCAGAAUCCCGUGAACCAUCGAGUCUUUGAACGCAAGUUGCGCCCCAAGCUUCGGGCCGAGGGCACGUCUCCUGGGUGUCACA
rnacentral:rRNA from 1 species